rnacentral:misc_RNA from 1 species
AAAUAUAUACAAGUAGUUCCUAACUAAUUAGGCAUACAAACCCCUAAAAUUGAGCUAUAAAAUCAACUAUACAAGGAAUAUAUAAUUAAUUAGGAAUAUAUGGUUCACUUUCCUUAACGCUCUCCCACAAGUUGGAGCAUAUAAAUCAUGCCCAAGUUAUUACAGACAUAGUCAACCCAAGCUCUAUUCAAAACUUUUGUAAAGAAAUCUCCCAAUUGAUCUCCAGUUUUAACAUGCCUUGUGGAGAUAAGCUUUUCUUGGAUCUUGUCACAAAUGAAGUGGCAAUCAAUCUCAAUAUGCUUGAUUCGUUCGUGAAACAUUGGGUAAAAAGCUAUAUGAAGAGCAACCUGACUAUCACACUAUAACUUAGCAGGCAAUGAAGACUUAAGACCAACUUUAUUCAAUAACAGAUACACCCACAUUAUCCCACACAUAAAUUGUUCCAUGGCUUUAUCCUCAGAUUUUCCACUAGCAUUUUAGGGCCAAUUUGAACUACUCCGCAAAAUUUUGAAUUUAAAAUGACUUUGUUUUUUCCAUUUCAAAUUUCUACUUUUAUCGUUCCUUCAUUGGUAGAGUGCUUUUUUG